rnacentral:rRNA from 1 species
UACGUAGGGGGCUAGCGUUGUCCGGAAUUAUGGGGCGUAAAGAGCGUGUAGGCGGCCAAGUAGGUCCGGUGUGAAAACUCGAGGCUUAACCUCGAGAUGUCAUCGGAAACCAUUUGGCUAGAGUCCGGAAGAGGAAAGUGGAAUUCCUGGUGUAGCGGUGAAAUGCGUAGAUAUCAAGAGGAACACCUGAGGUGAAGACGGGUUGCUAGGCUGACACUGACGCUGAGGCGCGAAAUCCAGGGGAGCAAACGGG